AUUUACUAACCUUCCUUAUGAUUCAAAUGGCCGAAUGUCUUGCUCCAUUUUUUUUUCUUUCUUUAGAUUCGGCUAAGAAGAACAAAGCUGAGACUUUGUUUUCUUCACCAUUCUUUCUAUUAUUAUUUUAUUUUAUUCAUCUAUAUUAUAAAGUAUAAAGCCAUUUAACUAAUAAUUAAUACAUAUAUUUAAUAUAAAAGCAUCAUCAUGGCCGGCCACUAUAAACAAAUAUGUAUAUUUGACAUGCAAG
rnacentral:lncRNA from 1 species